AUUGAACGCUGGCGGCAGGCCUAACACAUGCAAGUCGAACGAGUGGCGGACGGGUGAGUAAUGUCUGGGAAACUGCGUGAUGGAGGGGGAUAACUACUGGAACCGGUAGCUAAUACCGCAUACCAUCAGAUGUGCCCUGAUGGGAUUAGCUUGUUGGUGGGGUAAAGGCUAACAAAGGCGACGAUCCCUAACUGGUCUGUGAGGAUGACCGAGCAUGACGGAACUGAGACGCGGUCCAGACUCCUACGGUAGGCCGUAGUGGGGAAUAUUGAACAAUGGGCUCACGCCUGAGGUAGCCAUGCCUGGGGCAUGAAGAAGGCCUUCGGGUUGUAAAGUACUGGCAGCGGGGAGGCGUUACCCGCAGAAGGAGCACCGGGUGACUCCGUGCCAGCAGCCGCGGGAAUUC
rnacentral:rRNA from 1 species